rnacentral:rRNA from 1 species
AUUGAACGCUGGCGGCAUGCCUUACACAUGCAAGUCGAACGGCAGCACGGACUUCGGUCUGGUGGCGAGUGGCGAACGGGUGAGUAAUAUAUCGGAACAUACCCUAGAGUGGGGCAUAACGUAGCGAAAGUUACGCUAAUACCGCAUACGAACUAAGGUUGAAAGCGGGGGGAUCUUCGGACCUCGUGCUCAUGGAGUGGCCGAUAUCUGAUUAGCUAGUUGGUGAGGUAAAGGCUCACCAAGGCGACGAUCAGUAGCUGGUUUGAGAGAACGACCAGCCACACUGGAACUGAGACACGGUCCAGACUCCUACGGAGGCAGCAGUGGGGAAUUUUGGACAAUGGGCGCAAGCCUGAUCCAGCAAUGCCGCGUGAGUGAAGAAGGCC